rnacentral:rRNA from 1 species
AUGCGUUGUUGGGUAGGGGAGCGUUCUGUAAGCCUGUGAAGGUGUACUGUGAGGUAUGCUGGAGGUAUCAGAAGUGCGAAUGCUGACAUAAGUAACGAUAAAGCGGGUGAAAAGCCCGCUCGCCGGAAGACCAAGGGUUCCUGUCCAACGUUAAUCGGGGCAGGGUGAGUCGACCCCUAAGGCGAGGCCGAAAGGCGUAGUCGAUGGGAAACAGGUUAAUAUUCCUGUACUUGGUGUUACUGCGAAGGGGGGACGGAGAAGGCUAUGUUGGCCGGGCGACGGUUGUCCCGGUUUAAGCGUGUAGGCUGGUUUUCCAGGCAAAUCCGGAAAAUCAAGGCUGAGGCGUGAUGACGAGGCACUACGGUGCUGAAGCAACAAAUGCCCUGCUUCCAGGAAAAGCCUCUAAGCAUCAGGUAACAUCAAAUCGUACCCCAAACCGACACAGGUGGUCAGGUAGAGAAUACCAAGGCGCUUGAGAGAACUCGGGUGAAGGAACUAGGCAAAAUGGUGCCGUAACUUCGGGAGAAGGCACGCUGAUAUGUAGGUGAAGUCCCUCGCGGAUGGAGCUGAAAUCAGUCGAAGAUACCAGCUGGCUGCAACUGUUUAUUAAAAACACAGCACUGUGCAAACACGAAAGUGGACGUAUACGGUGUGACGCCUGCCCGGUGCCGGAAGGUUAAUUGAUGGGGUCAGCGCAAGCGAAGCUCUUGAUCGAAGCCCCGGUAAACGGCGGCCGUAACUAUAACGGUCCUAAGGUAGCGAAAUUCCUUGUCGGGUAAGUUCCGACCUGCACGAAUGGCGUAAUGAUGGCCAGGCUGUCUCCACCCGAGACUCAGUGAAAUUGAACUCGCUGUGAAGAUGCAGUGUACCCGCGGCAAGACGGAAAGACCCCGUGAACCUUUACUAUAGCUUGACACUGAACAUUGAGCCUUGAUGUGUAGGAUAGGUGGGAGGCUUUGAAGUGUGGACGCCAGUCUGCAUGGAGCCGACCUUGAAAUACCACCCUUUAAUGUUUGAUGUUCUAACGUUGACCCGUGAUCCGGGUUGCGGACAGUGUCUGGUGGGUAGUUUGACUGGGGCGGUCUCCUCCUAAAGAGUAACGGAGGAGCACGAAGGUUGGCUAAUCCUGGUCGGACAUCAGGAGGUUAGUGCAAUGGCAUAAGCCAGCUUGACUGCGAGCGUGACGGCGCGAGCAGGUGCGAAAGCAGGUCAUAGUGAUCCGGUGGUUCUGAAUGGAAGGGCCAUCGCUCAACGGAUAAAAGGUACUCCGGGGAUAACAGGCUGAUACCGCCCAAGAGUUCAUAUCGACGGCGGUGUUUGGCACCUCGAUGUCGGCUCAUCACAUCCUGGGGCUGAAGUAGGUCCCAAGGGUAUGGCUGUUCGCCAUUUAAAGUGGUACGCGAGCUGGGUUUAGAACGUCGUGAGACAGUUCGGUCCCUAUCUGCCGUGGGCGCUGGAGAACUGAGGGGGGCUGCUCCUAGUACGAGAGGACCGGAGUGGACGCAUCACUGGUGUUCGGGUUGUCAUGCCAAUGGCACUGCCCGGUAGCUAAAUGCGGAAGAGAUAAGUGCUGAAAGCAUCUAAGCACGAAACUUGCC